CUUCAUAGGCUGUCACACCCUGUGCAGGACCCAGUCCCAGUCAGGACACAGCAUGGACAUGAGGGUCCCCACUCAGCUCCUGGGGCUCCUGCUGCUCUGGCUGCCAGGUGCCAAGUGUGACAUCCAGUUGACCCAGUCUCCAUCCAUUCUAUAUGCAUCUCCAGGGGAUAGAAUCACCUUCACUUGUCGUGCCAGUCAAGACAUCAGCAGCUAUUUAGGCUGGUAUCAGCAGAAACCAGGGAAAGCUCCUAGGCUCCUAAUCUAUGACUCUUCCAACCUAUACACUGGAGUCCCGGCAAGGUUCAGCGGCAGUGGAUCUGGGACAGACUUUACUCUCACUAUAAGCAAUGUGGAGCCUGAGGAUUUUGCAGCUUAUUACUGUCAACAGCGUAAGAGUUACCCUCCCACAGUGAUACAAGCCAUGACAUAAACCAGCCAGGGAAGC